CAGUAGGGAAUAUUGCGCAAUGGGCGAAAGCCUGACGCAGCGACACCGUGUGUAGGAUGAAGGUCUUCGGAUUGUAAACUACUGUCAGUUGAAGACGAAGGCAGUAGAGUUAAGAGCUCGAAUGUUGACGGUAUUCAAUUAGGAAGUCUCGGCUAACUCCGUGCCAGCAGCCGCGGUAAGACGGAGGAGGCAAGCAUUGUCCGGAAUUAUUGGGCGUAAAGAACACGUAGGCGGUUUAUCAAGUCAUAUGUGAAAACCUUGGGCUUAACUUAAGGAUUGCAUAUGAUACUGGUAAACUAGAGUAUAGUAGAGGAAAGCGGAAUUCCUGGUGUAGCGGUGAAAUGCGCAGAUAUCAGGAAGAACACCAGUGGCGAAAGCGGCUUUCUGGACUGUUACUGACGCUGAGGUGUGAAAGCUAGGGGAGCGAACAG
rnacentral:rRNA from 1 species